rnacentral:rRNA from 1 species
CACGUAGGGCGCAAGCGUUGUCCGGAAUUAUUGGGCGUAAAGAGCUCGUAGGCGGUCUGUUGCGUCUGCUGUGAAAACCCGGGGCUUAACCCCUGGCUUGCAGUGGAUACGGACAGACUAGAGGUAGGUAGGGGAGAAUGGAAUUCCCGGUGUAGCGGUGAAAUGCGCAGAUAUCGGGAGGAACACCGGUGGCGAAGGCGGGUCUCUGGGCCGAUAUUGACGCUGAGGAGCGAAAGCGUGGGGAGCGAACAGG